GACGAACGCUGGCGGCGUGCUUAACACAUGCAAGUCGAGCGGAGCGGCGAACGGGUGAGUAACUCGUUAGUAACUGCCCCCCUCUCUGGGAUAACAGUUGGCAACGGCUGCCAAUACCGGAUAGUGGGGGAUGACUCGCGUCCUAUCAGCUUGUUGGUGGGGUAGUGGCCUACCAAGGCGACGACGGGUAGCCGGCCUGGGAGGGCGACCGGCCACAUUGGGCUGAGAUACGGCCCAAACUCGUACGGGGGGCAGUAGGGGGGAAUAUUGCACAAUGGGGGAAACCCUGAUGCAGCAACGCCGCGGGCGGGAUGAAGGCCUUCGGGUUGGAAACCGCUUUCAGCCAUGACGCGGUAGUGGCAGAAGAAGCACCGGCUAACUACGUGCCAGCCGCCGCGGUAAUUC
rnacentral:rRNA from 1 species